rnacentral:pre_miRNA from 17 species
AACCAUACUAUCAAUGAAUGGAUUCACCCGUGAUAUAACGUGGUUGUUUCACUUAGAACGAGGAUGUGACAUCCUAUUACCAGCCAUCGCACGAAAUUAAUAGGAUGCCACGUCCUCAUCCUAGGUGGAACAGCCAGGUCAUCUCACAGAUGAAUCGAUCCAUUCAUUAAUAGUUUGGUU